UACGUAGGGGGCAAGCGUUGUCCGGAUUUAUUGGGCGUAAAGAGCGUGUAGGCGGCUUGGAAGGUCAGCUGUGAAAACUCGAGGCUCAACCUCGAGACGUCGGUUGAAACCACCUGGCUAGAGUCCGGAAGAGGAGAGUGGAAUUCCCGGUGUAGCGGUGAAAUGCGCAGAUAUCGGGAAGAACACCGAUGGCGAAGGCAGCUCGCUGGGACGGUACUGACGCUGAGGCGCGAAAGCGUGGGGAGCGAACAGG
rnacentral:rRNA from 1 species